rnacentral:rRNA from 1 species
UACGUAGGGGGCAAGCGUUGUCCGGAAUUAUUGGGCGUAAAGAGCGCGUAGGCGGUCCGAUAAGUCGGCUGUGAAAGUCACAGGCUCAACCUGUGGAUGCCGCUGGAAACUGUUUGGCUCGAGUCCGGAAGGGGCGAGUGGAAUUCCUGGUGUAGCGGUGAAAUGCGCAGAUAUCAGGAGGAACACCAAUGGCGAAGGCAGCUCGCUGGGACGGUACUGACGCUGAGGCGCGAAAGCGUGGGGAGCGAACAGG